rnacentral:tRNA from 1 species
GGGCUCAUAGCUCAGUUAGGUAGAGCGCCUGGCUUUUAACCAGGCUGCCUGGGGUUCAAAUCCCCAUGAGCCCGC